AUGAAUUUAAAAAUACUACACUUUUCUCGUUACUAUAUAGAUUUAUUUUGGUUUUAAAUAUGCUACAUGUCACCAUGAAGAUUCGAACUAAACUAAAAAUUGCUUAAGAUGGCACGCAGUUUCGCGCCGUUUUUUACGCUUUAUUCUCGGGGGGGUGCCAUGAUAUUUCCGUUACUAUACAGUCAGACUCGAUGUGUUGCCAACAAAACAAUUAUUCAUAGCAACCGCUGCCAAUAAAAGGGAAUGAGGAAAAUUUUCACUUCGUAGUUGAACAUCUCAUCUAGACGGAAGUACAUUCGCCAACAUCCUGCCCCGCGGCUGCGAAGCUUAAGUUAUCCCGUGUUGGAAGAGGAGCCAGUUUGCUAAUAGAACGUCGAAAAGUUCCAUUCGAUGUCUUCACGUCUACCACACGUACCAAAGAAUCUGGUCCCGGAUAAGUAGCAGUUACAAUUCCAAGCUUCCAUACCAUUGGAGGAAGAUUGUCCUCGAUUAGAAGCACCACUGUUCCGGGUUGUACACUUGGUGAUACAGCUGUCCAUUUGCCACGCGACUGAAGUGAUGUUAAGUACUCUCGGGACCAACGCCCCCAAAAGUGUUCACGAAGCUUGUCAAGAUAUCUCCACCGGGAGAGACGAUUGUCUGGAAUUUCCUUGCAAGUUGGCUUUGCAAUACAAGCCAAUGGUCUACCAAUUUGCAAAUGGGCAGGUGUAAGAGGAAGAGGAUCAUCUGGACUUUGGGAAAGAUUAAACAGUGGCCUCGAAUUCAAAAUGGCCUCAACAUGUAUGCGUUUUGACACUUUUAACUCGCGCCUCCCACAAACCACCAAAAUUUGGCGCCCUUGGAGGGAUGAAGUGCCACUCUAUCUCUCUCGAAACUAAGAAAUCAUUUACAGUACGACGAUGUGUUUCAUUUUGAAAUUGUGUAUACAGCAGAUGAAGUUCAUUCGAAGCUCCCACAAAAUUUGAUCCAUUAUCCGAGAAUAAUUUUCGUACUAAUCCUCGGCGAUUGAUAAAACGUUCCAGUGCUGCGAUGAAGGCGGCAGUAGUGAGUUCUGAUACUAAUUCUAAGUGCACAUUUUUCGUUGUCAUACACACGAAUACGGCAAUAUAACACUUCAUAAUUUUCGGGCGAUGUUUUCCUUGCUUCACAUUAACCGGACCGGCAUAAUCUACGCCAGUAUAUUCAAAAGGAGAUGCAAUAUUAACACGCUCUACAGAUAAAGCUCUCAGGGGCCAGAAACUUUGCCGAAUGAUACUCAAUAAUCCCGAGGGUCCCACGUGUAAGUGCUCAACAUGAAGGGUUCUAAUAAUCAUUUCUGUUAUUGAAUGUCUCGGCAAGAUGAGUGGAUGUUUAGUCUCGAAUGGUAGGACCGACUUCUGCAAACGACCGCCUACACGCAAUAAAUGAUUAUCAUCAAGAAAAAGACUAAGAUUAGCCAAUCGACGCAGUGGUUGUCCCCUUUCAAUACGAAACACUCAAAUAUGCUGUCGUUUUGAAUUGCUUUGUCGGCUUGCGUUUGCAAUUGCGAAUGAAUCUCUGCACAUAUGCAAUAACACGUUGAAGCUUACGGAAGUUAUUGAACCUUUCGAAAACCGGUCCGUGCCACCAGAGCAAAUUUCCGCUUAGCAUAGCUGGCAGCUGGCCUCGAGACACAACAUCCGCUGGAUUUUGUCGUGUAUUCACGUAUUUCCAGGAGAAACUGUGGGUAAGAUUGUUAAUCUGCACAACUCGGUUUUGGAUAAAUACCUCAAGAGACCCGAGUGGCUUUUUCAACCAGGCCAGAACAAUUUGGCUAUCGCACCACAAUAAAAUCACUGAGCAUUUUAUUUGCAAUGCUUCAAUCACCUUAACAACAAGCCGAGCCAAAAUCAAUGCUCCCAAAAGCUCCAACCUUGGGAUAGUCGUAGCCUUUAAUGGAGCCACCCGAGAUUUGGCACACAUGAGAUGCAUCACUGCUGAUCCAUCCGAUAGAACACUCCGUAAAUAUACGCAGGCCCCGUACGCUGCAACUGAUGCAUCUGAGAAUCCAUGGAUUUCAUAUCGUACAACAGAUGGUAACUUCAUACAUCUUGGAACCUUGAUCAAAUGCGCUGUGCAGCUUCUUCCUCUGUGUCAGCUCCAGACAGCAUAUCAUCUACGUAUACAUCAUUUAGAACCAUUUUAGAUGCAACUGGAUAACGUUGUUGUUCUUCUAUGGCCAACUGUACUAAGCAUCUCGACGCGAGAAACGGUGCAGCAGCUGUUCCAUAUGUAACAGUGACUAACUCUAGUACUCGCAAUGGCUUCGCUGAAUCCUCUCUCCAGAAGAUUCUUAAGAAUCGAGUUUGUGAAUGAUCGAUCAAAAUCUGUCUGAACAUUUUUGUAACAUCUCCAGAAAAACCGAAGACGUGUUGCCGGAAACGUAGAUUUACGGUGAAUAUAUCGUUCUGAACCGAUGGACCGGUUUUCAUAACAUCGUUGAGGGAGUAUUUCGACUCCUUAGCACUGGCGUCAAAUACCACUCUUACCUUUGUUGAAGAACUAGUCAGCUUAAAUACUGCAUGGUGUGUGGCCAAGCCUUUCAUACUCUCCCAUGAAUUCAAUAUAUUGAUUUCGCAAUUCUGGGUUCCGCAGCAGUUUUCGUUCUAAAGCAAGAAAUCGCUUCAAUGCCAGAUUUCGAUUGCUUUCAAGCUCCGAAACUGUUUCUCGAAACGGCAUCUUGACUAUAAAUCGACCAAAUUCGUCCCGGCGAUACGUUUCUACGAAAUAUUGUUCAACUUCUUGUUCUUCGGUGUUGGAAGAUUGAGGCUCAUCCACCUCCUCAAUUGAACAAAAUCUAUCCAAACGAUCGAGUAACGUAUCUUGCACAGCAACAUUAGCUAUCAAAACAGUCUGAGAAGCCUGAUGGUAUGGUUCGUAUGUACCUGUAAUGAUCCAACCUAGAUCUGUUUCACGUAGUGAUGCAGUUCUAUUAUCUAGUAACACCCUUUUGGUUCGCAGCAAGUCCCACACAUAACUAGAAGCUAAUACCAAAUCUAUUUCGCUUGGUUUAUAAAAGAGUGGGUCCGCUAGCUGUAGCUCGGGAGGAAUAUUCCACGAUGAAGCAUCAAUUGCUACAGAUGGGACAAUUGAAGUUGGCUUAUCCGAAAUCAAACAGUUGUGUUUUCAUUGAGUUAGCACCAACUACAGUUAUGUUGCACUUCAGAGUUGGUAAACCAAGAACUUGAGCCAUCGCUUUUGACAAGAUGUGUGCUUGUGAACCUGAGUCCAAUAGUGCACGACAUGCAUGACUCCGACCGUGUACAUCGACAACAUCAACCAUCGCUGUUUGAAGAAGUACUUGAUUAGAAGAACGCAGAAAACCAUCACCGACACAAGACGUGGUUACUGACACCUUUUCGUUCUCUGGAGAUUCAGGAUCCGCCUUCCCAGCGACCUCCCGAUGAUCUGAAGCCUUAUCCUUUGAUUUCUCGUUUGACGAUACACAGCCUUCCACUUGAUCUAGAUGGAGCAUGAUAUGGUGCUUCUGAUUACAUUUUACACACGUUCUCUGCGACGGACAAGCUCUGACCAUAUGGCCCUUGCGUAAACAGUUGAAGCAAACCUUGGCAUCCUUCACCUUUGCCACACGUUGUUCAUUGUUCAUCUUUAUAAACGCAGAACAUUUGAAAUUAGGAUGACCUCCGCCACACAGUUCACAUACAAUCUCACUGGAUGUGGCGACUACAGCAGAUAUUUUGGAUGCUUUAGACGAUGGUGCUACCUUAGAAGAUGCUUGCUUCAAGGAAGGUAGUGCUGAUACGGCAGACUCACAACGCUCUAAUAUGAGACACCGUUUCCUUAGAAAAUCCAUAGUAUCCACGUAAUUUGGAAGGACACCGUGCUCAAUUGUAGCCUCCCAAAGCUCUCGUGUUUCUUGAUCAAGAGCCGCUGAUAAUAUAUGGAUUACCAUGAGCUCCGACACGCCUUGAAGUAGUUGAUCGUGAAACUUCAGAUUCUCGACGUGCCUGGAACACUCAUCAAUCAAGCUGCGUAGCUCCUUUGAUGACUUCUUAGCCAUCUUCUUGAGUUGCAUGAUCCCUUGAAUAUGAACAUCGAUAAUCAACCUCUUGUUCUCAUAUCGUUGUUCCAAGAUUUGCCAAGCUUGUUGAUAAUUAUUAUCUUGUAUGGUCUUGGCGUCGAUAAUUCCUGCUGCACUUCCUACUAGUGACUUAUCCAAAUGAAACAGUUUGAUUGCAUCGGAGUCUGGCGAGUUUCGCAUUAAAUCCAGAAACAUCGAUUUGAAUCUAGGCCAGUUUUCGUACCGCCCAUCGAAUGUCGGCAAAGGAGCUCGAAGAGAUUGCUGAUGGAUGACAACCUGCUGUUGACCAUUAUGCUGUCCCCCUGCUGGAAGAAUUGAACGUUCUCGAUUGGCAUCCAGAAGUGUUUCGAUGACAACUUGUACCUCGUUGUAAAGUUCCUCGAAUUCGAUCAACUUUACUUCCUGUGCAUCUCGCUGAUUGUCAUGCACCGUUUGCAUAACUAUAUCGUGAACCUCAUUAAAUUCACUGUAAUAUUUCUCUACAUUUUUUGAAUAAACGCGAAGCUGCGCUGUAGAUAUCGCUGUAGCAUUUUCUUGCGCUGCUACUAUUGCACUUUGGAUUCUCGUCAAUUUUCCCUUCACUGUUGCACGUUUGGAAAUUAACAAUUUUAGUUCCGCCAUUUUUCCACCUUUCGCACACUUUGGAGUUGAAAAUACUGAAUCCUGAUCUAAUUUGAUCUCUUCAUCGUCUUCCGUGGUAGAAUGAUCGAGUACAGCUGGCCUCAUCGGACAACUGUGUAGUCUUUUUAUAACACCUUGAGCUUAUUGCUUUUCGAUUCCACGCAUUAUUUUUCAACUUGCACUCCGGAUCUCAUCCGGCUCGAAGGACCAAAUGUCCGAUUUCAAUUGUUAUUGUAUCGUUGUGGACUGUAUGAAUUUAAAAAUACUACACUUUUCUCGUUACUAUAUAGAUUUAUUUUGGUUUUAAAUAUGCUACAUGUCACCAUGAAGAUUCGAACUAAACUAAAAAUUGCUUAAGAUGGCACGCAGUUUCGCGCCGUUUUUUACGCUUUAUUCUCGGGGGGUGCCAUGAUAUUUCCGUUACUAUACAGUCAGACUCGAUGUGUUGCCAACAAAACAAUUAUUCAUAGCAACCGCUGCCAAUAAAAGGGAAUGAGGAAAAUUUUCACUUCGUAGUUGAACAUCUCAUCUAGACGGAAGUACAUUCGCCAACAUAAAGAAAUACCUAAUACGAUAUUUAAAAAAUAAGAGGAAUAUGUUUUAUUAAACUCAAAUCGU